AUCCGGACUGUCAGCAAAUCUGAUCCUCCAGAGAAACAAGAGAACGUAGUGCAAGGAGAAAUUGCUGGAAGCCAAGUCAAUUAAACUGAAAAUUGUUGCAUUGUUGUACAUUUUGGAACUAACAUUAUUAUACCCCUAACCAUGUAGUUAUGAGUAAGUUAUUCAGGCAUCGGCACAUUUUAGGCAAAAGUUUGUGAAAAUUUUCAAAGAAUGGAAGUUUGUUUUAGUAAAGGUAUAAAUCUGAUGUGAUCUGAUCGUACGUUGGCACUAUUCAAAUAACCAUAAUGUGGCUGCUGUUUGGUGUUUCCACCAUAAUUUCAUAAUUUUUGCAUAUACAUUAUGCAGGUCAUAGGAAAAAUUAAUAAAUAAAUAACAAAUUAAAAUGUAUGAAUUUAGGAUUUCUGUCGUUGAUGGUUGUAUUUGGGGAGUAUUUUCUUGAUGAAUAAUCAGUAAGCUGUCUGUGUAAAAAAGGGCCCAAAACGAACUACUGAAAAAAACGGCAGGGUCCAGUUGUAGAAGGGCGUAUAACACUGUCCGACGGAUAAAUUGCUCUCCAGCGGAUAACUCUUUACAAAAUGUACUGCGCUACUUACCGGAUAGAGAUUUAUCCAGUGGAUAGCGUUAUCCGAAAUUAGAACAACCAGUACCAGAUGUGCAUUACGCGAAAAACAAAGUUGAAGAAAAGCGAGACAAUUCCUUGCGUGUUACAUGCCGUAUAAAUGUCUUAAUGGAGCAGGAGAUGCUUACAACAUGGCGCAGUCUAUGGCUCAAUACCGCGGCGGAUUACUAGGAGGCUUUCUAAGAGGUUUGUCCAUUUUUGCGUUUUUUUUUCACUGGUUAUUUGGUUUUAGUGUUCCCGUUAUGUAAAGGAAGAAGUUUCACCUCUCAUGAAGUACUCAAAUGUGUGCAUUCAAUCGAUCAACUUGAACGUGACUUAUCGUGAUCUUUUGUCGGCCUGGAAAUAAAUGCCUAGGGUGCAAUUUCUGUACGGCCUGAUGAUGGGCCAGCGCUUGAAAAUUCAGUUUUAAGAACUAUUUAUGGUGGUCAAUUUAUAUUACCCACUCAAUAAAUUAAAGCACAAGUAAUGCACGAUAAAGACUUUUUUUCACCAUUUCAUCGUUUCCUGCUUCUUUCUCGAGGACUUGAAUGCCAUUUCAUUUACUUUUACUCUCUAGAUUCCUUAUUCAUUCAUCUUAUCCAGCUCCCAGGUUGGCAACAAAAUAGUCCCAGCAUUGUGUCAGACUGGAUCCAAAUUUACGAGAGGAUCAGUCAAUAAUGACAAAGGCUGCCCCAAGUGUUGAUAAUUGCAAGUCAAAGCAAGAAGAAUGAAGGGGUAAGUUUCUAAAGAAACUGUGGUGCUGCACUGGCGAGGGAGUAUAACCAGACAAUUUCGGUUUAUCAACUCAGUUGAUAAUGUAAAUUGAGCAUCACAAAGAGUUUCAAAGCUUCCAUUUCGAGCAUUAGCCCUUCAUCAGAGCCAGUGUUUAAAGCAAACGCUUUGGCAGUGUUGUCCCUCAAAGUGUCAGCUUUGAAACUCUUUAUGUGGCCAAUUUACAUUGUCAACUUAGCUGAUUAAACCAAAAUUAUUGUAAUAAUAAUAAGUAAUAAGAGGUUGAGUUUGAUUGUAUAAGAAGCCUUCAAACAAUUCUCCAUGUCUUUCAUCUGUUUUUCUUUCAUCAGUUUGGAACAAAAACCUUGUAACUCAUGUACCCUUUAUCAGGUCAAGCUUUCUAAAAUCUCUUUGAAGUUUCUAUUUUUAGUUUUCACUAUUUAUUUCUCAGAUUGCAUUUCCAUCAUGAAAUGGUGAAAAUCAGCCUUAAGGUAACAACAUUUUGUGAAGCUUCAUCCCUAUAGAUCAUUAUUCACUUUCACUUGGUUACUUAAUGAGUUUCCCUCACUUGCAGUCAGUUACAAUAAUUGGUUACUUUGAGUUCUCAACAACUCCUUUCAAUACUUACAGAUGGAUAAUGAUUGCUUCAGUUUUGGUUCUACAAUUUCCACACAUGCAUACUGCACUUUUCAGCUUGUAUUUAUGCUGUAGUUUUAACAAAGGUGUGAUUAAAUAGAUUUCAAUGA
rnacentral:lncRNA from 1 species